UCCCAUAUAGUAUAGUGGUUAGUAUACUCCGCUUUCACCGGAGAGUCCCGAGUUCGAACCUCGGUGUGGGAA